rnacentral:rRNA from 1 species
AGGUUACUGCUAUCGGUGUUCGCCUAAGCCAUGCGAGUCAUAUGUUCUUCGUGAACAUGGCGUACUGCUCAGUAACACGUGGAUAACCUGCCCUUGGGUCCGGCAUAACCCCGGGAAACUGGGGAUAAUUCCGGAUAACGCACAUAUGCUGGAAUGCUUUAUGCGUCAAAUGGAUUCGUCCGCCCAAGGAUGGGUCUGCGGCCUAUCAGGUAGUAGUGGGUGUAAUGUACCUACUAGCCUACGACGGGUACGGGUUGUGAGAGCAAGAGCCCGGAGAUGGAUUCUGAGACAUGAAUCCAGGCCCUACGGGGCGCAGCAGGCGCGAAAACUUUACAAUGCGGGAAACCGUGAUAAGGGGACACCGAGUGCCAGCAUCCUAUGCUGGCUGUCCGGGUGUGUAAAAUACACCUGUCAGCAAGGGCCGGGCAAGACCGGUGCCAGCCGCCGCGGUAACACCGGCGGCCCGAGUGGUGAUCGUGAUUAUUGGGUCUAAAGGGUCCGUAGCCGGUUUGGUCAGUCCUCCGGGAAAUCUGACAGCUCAACUGUUAGGCUUUCGGAGGAUACUGCCAGACUUGGAACCGGGAGAGGUAAGAGGUACUACAGGGGUAGGAGUGAAAUCUUGUAAUCCCUGUGGGACCACCUGUGGCGAAGGCGUCUUACCAGAACGGGUUCGACGGUGAGGGACGAAAGCUGGGGGCACGAACCGGAUUAGAUACCCGGGUAGUCCCAGCCGUAAACGAUGCUCGCUAGGUGUCAGGCAUGGCGCGACCGUGUCUGGUGCCGCAGGGAAGCCGUGAAGCGAGCCACCUGGGAAGUACGGCCGCAAGGCUGAAACUUAA